AUGAAUACUGUACUACAGCUAAAUAGCUUGGGGAAAUGUAAGUAUUUGCUAUUUGGUAAGUAUUCAAUAACUUACAUGUUAAAAAUGUCUUCAUAGCUUCAUUGUAGAAGUUAAGAAGACCGCAACUAUUUUCAUCAAACUAUAACACUAAUAGCCUAUUAUAGGCAAACUUAGUUCAAUAGCCAACUGAAAUGUCUCAAUUUUUGUCAUCUAAUCAUGGCCAAUGUGACACUAGAAAUCUUUUAAUCAAAAUAACUAUAUUUUGGCAAACAAACAAAAGCAAAAAUUAAAACAUGGAAAAUUAGCGUAUUGUGUGAUUAUUAUUUUAAACAAUAUUGCAAUAAUUGUUGCAGUAGUAGUAUUGCAUAUAUUCUACUGAACCACAGUAAUAUAUUUCUGACAAUUUCUUUAAGCUAAACAGAACUUAUAUUUUGACAGGUUAUAUUUUGUAGCCUAUUAUAUGAUAUGAUAGUUUUACUCAAAUGAAACCGUCAAAUGCUCAAGAAGUGACUCUCAGAGCAGUUCUGGAGAUGUUGUUCAUGUAUUUAUGUCCUCAUUUAGUGUGACGACAGAAGCUGAAAUCACUGCGAGUGUCGUGCACUUCAGUAUUUGUGUAGUAAACAAAACAUCUCCGGUUACUGUUGUAACCUUGGCUCCUUGAAAGACGGGAACGAGACAUUGUGUCAGAAGGGGACUCCCUUCCUUCCUAACCUACCUGAAAUCCUAUUGCACAACGUCAGUGCAAGUUGCAACUCUUCGCUGGCCAACGGGCAGGGCCUCCGCCGCUAUAUAAUGUGCUGUCUUGGUGGCAUAAACUCAGAAUCUUCCGACUGAACAGACGCAAUGAGUACGCAAUGUCUCGUUCACGUCUUUCAAGGAACCAAGGUUACAAUAGUAACCAGAGACAUUCCUUAUCAAAGACGGUGCACUCAACAUUGUGUCAGAAGCUAACUUUUUGGGGACUGUAGAAAACAACGCUGUGUGAACAGCGAAGAGAAAACUAACCCUCAGCGGAGCUAACAGUAACUGUACUCGCAAGAGACAUAGAGCAAUUCCCAACCAAUCAUAGACUGCCUACGAAAUGCCCCAAGGGGAUUGGAUAUACAUACCCCCUUGGGAAACCAAUCAUAUCACUCUGAAUCCAGAUUCAGCCGUCUAUUGGAGGAAACAUUGCGCCGUCGCCCUAAGGAUGGGCGUUGCUGGUCACAACUAAAAACGUGUUUAAUAAUGACACCAAUAGGACAUUCAAUUCCCUGGCUAGAAUAAGCCAAAGCAAUUGCAUCAACCACCCAUUGUGAAAGCCGCUGUUUGGAGAUGGGCUGUCGUUUGGUGCCCCCUGCACAGCUGCUUAGACUGAUGAAAGUGAGUGAAGGCAGAAAGUGGCAUUACCACUUGUACCCUGAACAGCGUCGAUAAUGAUUUAGGCACGUAGCCUGAUCAUGGCUUGAGUGUGACGUUGCAAUCACUUUGUCCAAACUGCAUGCAGUCAGCAUUCAUGGAGAGCGCAUGUAAAUCCCCUAUGCUCUUGACCGAGGCCAUGGCGAGCAGCAGUAUAGCUUUAAAUGACAGCUCUCUCAAACCAACAGACUGAAGCAUCUGGAAGGUAGGUUGUGCCAGCGCCCCCAGCACCACAGUCAGAUCCCAGGGUGGCACAGUGGGAGGGCGAGAGGGUCUUAGCCAUCUCGCACCCUUCAAGAACCUGAUCACCAGAUUGUGCUUACCAACUGAACAUCCGUAGACAGUAGCGUGAAAAGCUGAGAUAGUUGCAACAUAAACCAUAAACCAUCCGAUCGCUGUUGCAAGAACCCUAGAAUGUCUGACUUGGGACACUUCUCCAGGUUGUGGCCAUUCAAUUCGCACCAUUUCAUAAAGACUGCCUAUUUGAGAGCAUACAAACAUCUCGUAGAAGGGGCUCGCGCCUCCGUGAUUGUGUCCAUCACCCGGUGGGACAAUGAGCCCGGGUUUAGUGGUUCCUGCACACCAUCCACACAUGAAGUUUCCACCAUUCGGGGUUGGGGUGCCAUAUCGAGCCACCUGCCUGAGACAGGAGAUCCCAUCUCAGCGGGAUCAGCCACAGGGGGAGCUGUUAGUAUCGCUAGCAGAUCAGGAAACCACAGUCUGUUGGGCCAGUAUGGGUCGAUUAACAACACCGACGCUCUCUCCUCUCUGAUUUUGUGUAGCACUUGUGGCAAAAUCUUCAAUGGGGGGGAACGCAUACAGACAGGCAUUCGGCCACGGCAUUGUGAGCCUGUCCCCGCCCAAACGGGAGUGUGACAGAGAGAAGAACAGAGGGCAAUGUGUGUUCUCCUCUGUCGCAAACAGAUCCACCUCCACUGUCCCGGGGUACAGUCUCCAUUCCCAGUGAGGGAUUCCAUUCCUCGAUAACUUCCACCCUGCUGUGCAGACAGCCUGGGACAUGCUGCCAGGAUGGAAAGCAGAUGGCGAUCGGCCCACAACAAGAGGCGUGCUGCCUGCUCAUAAAGGGUCUCAAGUGUACCCCGCCUUGGCGGUUUAUGUACGACACCACUGACGUUAUCCACACUCAAAAAAAUGAAACAUGGUAUUUGUUGGUCCAAAGAAUGUAAUUAUGUUUAAAUUAAUUCAUUUAAUUUCAUCUGUGCAUUAAAAUUAGUGUUGACAGUGUUAGUGUUAAAAUUAGAGUUGUGUUGACAGAAUUAAAAGAAGUAAUUCUUCAAAUUUACACAGCUCAGUUAAUUAAAAUGAAUGCAACAGAGUUGUGUUGCUUCUGCAGUACCGCACAUCGGUCAGUAGGUGGAGUAAAAUCUGCACAUGCGCAGUUGGAAAACACCACAAGAAGGAAGGAAGCACAGGUGAGCACAAGAUCACUCUUCAGCUCAUUUAGAUCGACGCCAUUUUAUGACAAUCAAAGACGGAGAAUUACACUGCAAAACGACAACGUGUUUUCCUCUAUGUGAACAGACAGGUAUCUGUGGAAUUCAGUAGGAUUACAACAAUUCCUUUGGUGUCCAAAUUCAUGGGUCAGCUUGAUCAUUUCUCCUCUCAGCUCCUCAAAAAUUUCAAAAAGAAAGGAGGAGUAGCUGCACAGAAGAUCACAGACAUCCUGUCAGUUUUGGAUCAGGACACUGAACAUGAUGAAGCCCAAAUUUUGAUGAGCAAAACCACUCUCGGAAUCUAUGCCAUCAAAUGUGAAGGGGCAGAUGUUGCAGACCCAUACGAAGAUGUUG